rnacentral:rRNA from 1 species
CCUACGGGUGGCAGCAGUGGGGAAUAUUGCACAAUGGGGGAAACCCUGAUGCAGCGACGCCGCGUGAGUGAAGAAGUAUCUCGGUACGUAAAGCUCUAUCAGCAGGGAAGAAAAUGACGGUACCUGACUAAGAAGCCCCGGCUAACUACGUGCCAGCAGCCGCGGUAAUACGUAGGGGGCAAGCGUUAUCCGGAUUUACUGGGUGGAAAGGGAGCGUAGACGGCAGCACAAGUCUGGAGUGAAAUCCCGGGGCUUAACCCCGGAAAUGCUUUGGAAACGGGGCGGCUGGAGUGCAGGAGGGGUAAGCGGAAAUCCUAGGGUAGCGGUGAAAUGCGUAGGAAUUAGGAGGAAAACCGGUGGCGAAGGCGGCUUACUGGACUGUAACUGACGUUGGGGCUCGAAAGCGUGGGGAGCAAACAGGAUUAGAUACCCGAGUAGUC